UUCCAGCAGGAAAAUGGUCACAACUGUACAAACAAAUGCUUUAAUUUGUUCAGUGAGUUGGAACGUUUUUGUCAGUGCUGCUUGACAAAUGUGGAUGAUCUGUAACUGGAAGAAAGUGUAACACCUGAAGAGAUGUUCUCGCUUGGAGUGGGACCAUGCUUUUAAAAUCCUGCUGAAACAGUUGUUGAAAUUGUUUAGCAGAUACCGUUAUCAAAAACUGCACGUGAACCAAAAUUACUGUCUCUGCAUACUUAAAAUAAUGCUUCUCUCAAAACAUCAAACUGCCCCCUUUGGGAAGGAUAACAGUGGCAGUAGGGAAAUGAGUGGUGAGCUUCAAUAUAUGAAAAAGAAACAGACUAUUGGCCCUUAGAAAAUGUAAGGGUAUGCAGACUUUGAUACUGAGCAUCUGUAAUAACUCAAAACAAUGGAAGUUGCAGGUAGGCCAUGCAGCAUUGAUACAUAAAUUCAAACUACUGAGUGCUCCUUGAUGAUGUCAUGUGGGAGAUUGAAGGAGGUAGAUGAGGUGGUGUGGAAGCAUCAACAUGAAGCACCUGUAAAAAGAAACGCUUGAAAUUUCAGGUGGCGUGAGGAAGUUGUGGUUACAGAAAAAGCAUAGACUAAAGCUUUCAUUUUCUUCUGCAUCUAGAUGGGGAGAGAAGGAAAAGGGAGUUUUCAUGAGCUGCCAAUUUAGCAUGGAAAGACCAGUAUCGGAACUGGAACUGUGCCCACUGAAGAAGACAUUGGCAGUGUUAUCUGUUCCCAGUGUGGGAGGAAAAGGAAUAGAAACAUUGGAAGUUUUGCUUGCCAGCAGUCACUAACCACACAGUAACAUCUUAACAUUGUAAAUUAUGCACGGAAGAUGCAAUCCACCUUAAGGUGUGGCUCUUGUACUGCCUUCUCAGGAAUGCUUUAUAAAGGAGGGAAUGUGACAACUGCGUGGUAGCCAAUGAUCAGUAGUGCUGUGGUUACUGAAUGAUUUUGGAAUGUACCGAAAUAAGGAAACAGCCCUGUAGUCUGCAGCCAAAAAUGACAGCAUUGGAUGCUAGCAGUUAACUUUCUCUAGGGAUCUGAAAGAACUUAAUGAAAUGCACUUAUUUCUAAACACCAAAUACUUGAAAGGCCCAUUUUCCUACCAGUGCAGCACCGCAGAAGUGCAGAACACUAAGUAGCAGCAUCUGAAGCAUUGGGAAGAUCAGAAAUAAAGUGCCUGACUACAAAGCCAUACAGUAAUGAUGUGACUGAACUCCAGGAGUGACUUGGCUUACUGCAUAACCUCUGCUUUGGUUUUUCAGUAAUAACCAGCUGCUUUGGCUGGUCAGAGGCUGCUUCUCAGUGAGUUAACUAUGUAAAUCAGUCUAUUGAAUGUAUCAUCAGAAGCUGCAGAAUUUUACUACAGAAAACCUUCCCUUGGUGGCUUUAAUCAGGAUUUAUUACAUGUUAAUGUUGCUGAGAAGGGUAGGUAUUUGCUAUGUUUUGUACAUGCUCUUUCUUGAAUAAAGACGAGGAUGUGGAAAACUUAACUAGUUGUUCAACGUCAGUUCUGUAGUCACUUAAGGUGCUUCUUGACAGCUCUUAUUUUGCAAGGGCUGCAAAGGCACUGUGGCCUUACUGUACUGGUACAGGGCAUGCUGAACACGUGACAUUCCACACACUGCUUGACUGGCUCCUGGACAAUGUAAGCUCCACUGUUAGUUACAUAUUUCAGAAGCGCGGAGAGAUCAGUCUCCCAUCUUAGGUCCGCUACAUUUUCAGCCCUUCUCAGUGGUGUGCACACCACUAAACAAGGGGUAACAGAAAGUAAUUGGAACACACGAAGUUCUGUAUGAAAUCAGGAGGAACUUUACUGUGAAAGUGAUAGAGCACUGGAACAGGCUGUCCGGAGAGAUUGUGGUGUCUCCUCUGGAGUUUACCAAGAUCUGCCUGUGCAACUUACUGUAGGGAACCUGCUUAAGUAGGGGUGGAUCGGUCUUCAUUUCCCAGAGGUCCCUUUCAACCCCUACAAUUAUCUGGCUUUUAUUGAGUUGACGUUGACAAUGUUUAGUGAAGCUGUUGAAGUGGUGAGUCAAAAGUUGACAGUCUUGGGACACUCAGCGUGUCUUCUGACGGGGAAGAAGUAUGUUGAAAACCUGAAAAGGAUAAUAGGGCAGCAAUAUUUUGUAAGUAGUAUAUUAGCUAUUCUGAAAGGAUUUUUAUGUGGCUUGUAUAACAGUACAUGGCAAGAUUUUAUUUGCAGUAAGUUUUGACUGUAACAGAGUCUUUGGCUGAAGCUGAAACAGCAUCUGUAGCUUUUGAGGAGUUCCUAACAUGUGGGCAUCUAGUAAAACUGGUGAGGAUGAGUUGCUCUUCUAAUUUCUGACAUUAAAAGGAUGGUUUCAUGAUUAUGGAUGGUACUUGAAUACCCAAAGAACUUCAAUCUAAAUCUGAAAUACUGGGGAUGUUCUAAUCUAGGAUUGGCAGUAAUAGAUAAAAAGGGCCAAAGAACUGUAUUACGUUUGUGCUUGGGGUGGUGGAAGCCUGUUUCCAGAAGCUAUUCCAUCAGGAAAAGAUGUGUCCAGAAAAAAGAUGUGGCCAGUGAUGAGCCUGGUAACUGCAAAUCUUUUGAUAUAAACACUCACUGGAAUGCAGAAUAUGGAUAAGCAAAGAAAAAUGUGCUUUAGAAAGUCUGGAACAAGUUUUUUUAACCAUGAGACUACCUUACAAUCUUCAUAAUGAGAGUGAUGGUUAUGAUGUUGGACGCUAGCAUCACAAAUUUUAAAAUGAGAGGUAUAAUAUUAGUGAGCUUGCUCACAGUGGUAGGGGAUAAUGUUGCAAUCCACUUGUAGAUUUAGUUCUUGUAUGGGUUUUUUUUGCGUGAUACUUCUAUAUGAUUAUGAAGUUGGCAUGUAAUGACUUUGGAAGGUAUGUUAAAGUUCGGUUGUACAAAACACCUUGCUAGAUUUAAAGCUUUGAUUUCAGAUGUUGCAGUAAAUAGCGUGAAAGCCCUUUUGCCAUUUGUAUUAUAAAUAGUUGUUAAAAUCUUGUGCUGUCAUUAGUGUUUGAUUUAUCACAUGGGUGUUGGGCUGUGAUUCCCAAAAUCAGUGGUUAGACAAACUGUCGUGGGGUAUUGCUGUGUCAGUCUUAGUAACUGGGCAAAAGAUCAGCAUUCUCCUGAGUUAAAGGAGCGUUGUGUUUAAUGAGCGUCUCGGAGCUUCAGGAAAGUUAGAAGAGUGGCUGUGCAUAAAUGCUUUGCUACCAUUUAAGUGGGAAGUCUUAAAGCAGGACGUUGGAGAGUUUGUCUUGUUUGUGGUGACAGUAUAUCAUAAAUAGUUCCAAGUGAGCUGCAGUUACUUUUCCAAAGUACCCACCCUGCAGUGUGGGUUAAAAACGCAAGCAAACAAAGUGUGUAUCCUGUCAAGCUAAC
ensembl:lncRNA